rnacentral:rRNA from 1 species
UACGGGGGGAGCAAGCGUUGUUCGGAUUUACUGGGCGUAAAGGGCGCGUAGGCGGUCAGCACAAGUCAGUUGUGAAAUCUCCGGGCUUAACUCGGAAAGGUCAACUGAUACUGUGCGACUAGAGUGCAGAAGGGGCAACUGGAAUUCUCGGUGUAGCGGUGAAAUGCGUAGAUAUCAGGAGGAACACCGGUGGCGAAGGCGGGUCUCUGGGCAGUAACUGACGCUGAGGAGCGAAAGCGUGGGGGAGCGAACAGG